rnacentral:lncRNA from 1 species
CCUCAAAACCAGCAAGUUUUUAUUAAGGGUUUCAAAAGGGGAGGGGCUGAAAGAACAGAGUAGUUACAAAGAUCACAGCUUCAAAGGGCAAAAAGCAGAGCUACUAAUAAGCGUCUAACAAAGAUCACAUGCUUCUGAGGGAACGGGACAAAGGGCAAAAGCAGAACUACUGAUAAGGGUCCAACAAAGAUCACUAGGCAAAGGGCAGAAGCAGAACUACUGAUAAGGCUCUAUGUUCAGUGGUGCACGUAUUGUCUUGAUAAAUAUCUUAAAUAACAGAAAACAGGGUUCGAGAGCAGAGAACCGGUCUGACCACAACUUUACCAGGAUGAAUUUUUUCCCACCCUAGUAAGGCUGAGGGUACUGCAGGAGACCAGGGCAUAUCUCAGUCUUUAUCUCAACUGCAUAAGACAGACAUUCCCAGAGCAGCUGUUUAUAGACCUCCAGUAAAGAUAACAGGAUUCAGAGAUUAAAGUAAGACAGGCAUAAGAAAUUAUAAAUGUAUUAUUUCAGAACUGGUAAAUGUCCAUGAAAUCUUCACAAUUUAUGUUCCUCUGCUGCAGCUCCAGUUGGUCCCUCCAUUCGGGGUCCCUGAAUUCUCACAACACCAGGGAAGCCAAGGAGCACACCUGGAGCAUUCUCCAAAUUGAAAGGAGGCAGCUCACAAGUGGCACCAAACAUAGAUAACUGUCACCAAUGACUCCUGCACAAGCCACACCCAUGAGGCAGGAGGAGGAUUAUACUCAGUUAACAACAUGUAAGAAAAGAAUGCUACCUGGAAAUGAGGAAGUGUCAUAAAAUCCAAAUCCACCAGUCAUAUCAGCCACCCACCUCCUUUCUUGCAACCAGCUACCACCUACAGGAAAUAUUCAGAGUGCAAGAAUGUUCAUCCACUGGAGACGAUCUGCCUAACAAUCAGCAAAUGUUUGACCAUGGCAUUCACCCAGCGCUGCAUCCGCUUUGCUGAGAGCAGCCAGGAGCGACACAACAGCAGGUGGCUUUGCUGAGUAGGAAAGGGAAGAACAGCCGUCCAUAGUUCUCCUGGCUGGAGGCUACUCAGCUCACAGUCAACACUUUGUGACAGAGAAGAAGGAGGAAGAGGUGCCAGACAGGAUAAGUGGUACUUAUUUUGAAACUAAAAUCCAUAAAUUAUACUAUAUUAAAC